UACGGGGGGGGCAAGCGUUGUUCGGAAUUAUUGGGCGUAAAGGGCGCGUAGGCGGUUAGAUAAGUCGGCUGUGAAAACCUCGGGCUUAACUCGAGGCCUGCAGUUGAAACUGUCUAGCUGGAGUGUGGGAGAGGAGAGUGGAAUUCCUGGUGUAGCGGUGAAAUGCGUAGAUAUCUGGAGGAACACCGGUGGCGAAGGCGGCAUCCUGGACCAAUACUGACGCUGAGGAGCGAAAGCCAGGGGAGCAAACGGG
rnacentral:rRNA from 1 species